UACGUAGGGGGCUAGCGUUGUCCGGAUUUAUUGGGCGUAAAGCGCGCGCAGGUGGUUCCAAAAGUCUGAUGUGAAAGCCCCCGGCUUAACCGGGGAGGGUCAUUGGAAACUGGGAGACUUGAGUGCAGAAGAGGAAAGUGGAAUUCCAAGUGUAGCGGUGAAAUGCGUAGAGAUUUGGAGGAACACCAGUGGCGAAGGCGACUUUCUGGUCUGUAACUGACACUGAGGCGCGAAAGCGUGGGGAGCAAACAGG
rnacentral:rRNA from 1 species